rnacentral:rRNA from 1 species
AUUGAACGCUGGCGGCAGGCCUAACACAUGCAAGUCGAGCGGCUGAAGGGAGCUUGCUCCUGGAUUCAGCGGCGGACGGGUGAGUAAUGCCUAGGAAUCUGCCUGGUAGUGGGGGAUAACGUCCGGAAACGGGCGCUAAUACCGCAUACGUCCUGAGGGAGAAAGUGGGGGAUCUUCGGACCUUACGCUAUCAGAUGAGCCUAGGUCGGAUUAGCUAGUUGGUGGGGUAAAGGCCUACCAAGGCGACGAUCCGUAACUGGUCUGAGAGGAUGAUCAGUCACACUGGAACUGAGACACGGUCCAGACUCCUACGGGAGGCAGCAGUGGGGAAUAUUGGACAAUGGGCGAAAGCCUGAUCCAGCCAUGCCGCGUGUGUGAAGAAGGUCUUCGGAUUGUAAAGCACUUUAAGUUGGGAGGAAGGGCAGUAAGUUAAUACCUUGCUGUUUUGACGUUACCAACAGAAUAAGCACCGGCUAACUUCGUG